rnacentral:rRNA from 1 species
GGCAUCAGGAACAUAGCUUGCUUUCUUUGCUGGCGACCGGCGCACGGGUGAGUAACACGUAUCCAACCUGCCCUUUACUCGGGGAUAGCCUUUCGAAAGAAAGAUUAAUACCCGAUGGCAUAAUGAUUCCGCAUGGUUUCAUUAUUAAAGGAUUCCGGUAAAGGAUGGGGAUGCGUUCCAUUAGGUUGUUGGUGAGGUAACGGCUCACCAAGCCUUCGAUGGAUAGGGGUUCUGAGAGGAAGGUCCCCCACAUUGGAACUGAGACACGGUCCAAACUCCUACGGGAGGCAGCAGUGAGGAAUAUUGGUCAAUGGGCGCUAGCCUGAACCAGCCAAGUAGCGUGAAGGAUGAAGGCUCUAUGGGUCGUAAACUUCUUUUAUAUAAGAAUAAAGUGCAGUAUGUAUACUGUUUUGUAUGUAUUAUAUGAAUAAGGAUCGGCUAACUCCGUGCCAGCAGCCGCGGUAAUACGGAGGAUCCGAGCGUUAUCCGGAUUUAUUGGGUUUAAAGGGAGCGUAGGUGGACUGGUAAGUCAGUUGUGAAAGUUUGCGGCUCAACCGUAAAAUUGCAGUUGAUACUGUCAGUCUUGAGUACAGUAGAGGUGGGCGGAAUUCGUGGUGUAGCGGUGAAAUGCUUAGAUAUCACGAAGAACUCCGAUUGCGAAGGCAGCUCACUGGACUGCAACUGACACUGAUGCUCGAAAGUGUGGGUAUCAAACAGGAUUAGAUACCCUGGUAGUCCACACAGUAAACGAUGAAUACUCGCUGUUUGCGAUAUACAGUAAGCGGCCAAGCGAAAGCAUUAAGUAUUCCACCUGGGGAGUACGCCGGCAACGGUGAAACUCAAAGGAAUUGACGGGGGCCCGCACAAGCGGAGGAACAUGUGGUUUAAUUCGAUGAUACGCGAGGAACCUUACCCGGGCUUAAAUUGCAGUGGAAUGAUGUGGAAACAUGUCAGUGAGCAAUCACCGCUGUGAAGGUGCUGCAUGGUUGUCGUCAGCUCGUGCCGUGAGGUGUCGGCUUAAGUGCCAUAACGAGCGCAACCCUUAUCUUUAGUUACUAACAGGUUAUGCUGAGGACUCUAGAGAGACUGCCGUCGUAAGAUGUGAGGAAGGUGGGGAUGACGUCAAAUCAGCACGGCCCUUACGUCCGGGGCUACACACGUGUUACAAUGGGGGGUACAGAAGGCAGCUAGCGGGUGACCGUAUGCUAAUCCCAAAAGCCUCUCUCAGUUCGGAUCGAAGUCUGCAACCCGACUUCGUGAAGCUGGAUUCGCUAGUAAUCGCGCAUCAGCCACGGCGCGGUGAAUACGUUCCCGGGCCUUGUACACACCGCCCGUCAAGCCAUGGGAGCCGGGGGUACCUGAAGUACGUAACCGCAAGGAUCGUCCUAGGGUAAAACUGGUGACUGGGGCUAA